rnacentral:rRNA from 1 species
GACGUAGGGAGCGAGCGUUGUCCGGAUUCAUUGGGCGUAAAGCGCGCGUAGGCGGCCUCGCAAGUCGGUUGUGAAAUCCCGGGGCUCAACCCCGGGACUGCGUCCGAUACUGCGAGGCUGGAGGUAGGUAGGGGAGAUCGGAAUUCCUGGUGUAGCGGUGAAAUGCGCAGAUAUCAGGAGGAACACCGGUGGCGAAGGCGGAUCUCUGGGCCUUACCUGACGCUGAGGCGCGAAGGCCAGGGGAGCAAACGGG